rnacentral:rRNA from 1 species
GACAGAGGUGCCGAGCGUUAGGCGGAAUCACUGGGCUUAAAGCGUGUGUAGGCGGACCCGUCAGUGUCUUGUGAAAUCCCACGGCUCAACCGUGGAACGGCUGGGCAUACUGCGGGUCUUGAGACACCUAGGGGCGAGCGGAACAGGCGGUGGAGCGGUGAAAUGCGUAGAUAUCGCCUGGAACGCCGACGGUGAAAACAGCUCGCUGGGGGUGUUCUGACGCUGAGACACGAAAGCCAGGGGAGCGAACGGGG